rnacentral:rRNA from 1 species
UACGGAGGGUGCAAGCGUUAAUCGGAAUUACUGGGCGUAAAGCGCACGCAGGCGGUUUGUUAAGUCAGAUGUGAAAUCCCCGAGCUUAACUUGGGAACUGCAUUUGAAACUGGCAAGCUAGAGUCUUGUAGAGGGGGGUAGAAUUCCAGGUGUAGCGGUGAAAUGCGUAGAGAUCUGGAGGAAUACCGGUGGCGAAGGCGGCCCCCUGGACAAAGACUGACGCUCAUGUGCGAAAGCGUGGGGAGCAAACAGG